GCCGCGUUAGCUCAGUUGGCAGAGCAUCGCUCUUGUAAAGCGAAUGUCGAGAGUUCGAAUCUCUCACGCGGCU
rnacentral:tRNA from 1 species